rnacentral:rRNA from 1 species
UAGGGAAUCUUCCACAAUGGACGCAAGUCUGAUGGAGCAACGCCGCGUGAGUGAAGAAGGUUUUCGGACCGUAAAGCUCUGUUGUUGGUGAAGAAGGAUAGAGGUAGUAACUGGCCUUUAUUUGACGGUAAUCAACCAGAAAGUCACGGCUAACUACGUGCCAGCAGCCGCGGUAAUACGUAGGUGGCAAGCGUUGUCCGGAUUUAUUGGGCGUAAAGCGAGCGCAGGCGGAAGAAUAAGUCUGAUGUGAAAGCCCUCGGCUUAACCGAGGAAUUGCAUCGGAAACUGUUUUCUUGAGUGCAGAAGAGGAGAGUAGAACUCCAUGUGUAGCGGUGGAAUGCGUAGAUAUAUGGAAGAAUACCAGUGGCGAAGGCGGCUCUCUGGUCUGCAACUGACGCUGAGGCUCGAAAGCAUGGGCAGCGAACAGGAUUAGAUACCCUGGUAGUCCAUGCCGUAAACGAUGAGUGCUAAGUGUUGGGAGGCUUCCGCCUCUCAGUGCUGCAGCUAACGCAUUAAGCACUCCGCCUGGGGGAGUACGACCGCAAGGUUGAA